UGGGGAAUUUUGGACAAUGGGCGAAAGCCUGAUCCGGCAAUGCCGCGUGUGUGAAGAAGGCCUUCGGGUUGUAAAGCACUUUUGUCCGGAAAGAAAUCCUUGGCUCUAAUACAGUCGGGGGAUGACGGUACCGGAAGAAUAAGCACCGGCUAACUACGUGCCAGCAGCCGCGGUAAUACGUAGGGUGCAAGCGUUAAUCGGAAUUACUGGGCGUAAAGCGUGCGCAGGCGGUUUGCUAAGACCGAUGUGAAAUCCCCGGGCUCAACCUGGGAACUGCAUUGGUGACUGGCAGGCUAGAGUAUGGCAGAGGGGGGUAGAAUUCCACGUGUAGCAGUGAAAUGCGUAGAGAUGUGGAGGAAUACCGAUGGCGAAGGCAGCCCCCCUGGGCCAAAUACUGACGCUCAUGCACGAAAAGCGUGGGGGAGCAAAACAGGAUUAGAUACCCUGGUAGUCCACGCCCUAAAACGAUGUCAACUAGUUGUUGGGGGAUUCAUUUUCCUUAGUAACGUAGCUAACGCGUGAAGUUGACCGCCUGGGGAGUACGGUCGCAAGAUUAAAAACUUAAAGGAAUUGACGGGGUCAUAGCUGUUUCCU
rnacentral:rRNA from 1 species